ACAAAAGGUAUUUCAUUGGUCAAAGGUUUUAUUCCGGUUAAAUGCGUUCGCUCAUCAGCAAUCACCAAACGCGACGAAUUCUACACAUGGUACACAAUCUUCUGCAAAGUCACAAACUUUGCACAGUUCAUCACAAACGAUAUUCUAAUGCAGUGUUUCGCCAAUAACUGUGGAGUCUUUGUGCUUAUGGUAAGUUUGACAAUUUACAUGGACAACCGCAUUGGUAAUUUAGAACUAAACAACAUCUUUGACUUUCAGUAUGCCUUGUACAUCGCUCCUGAGGUUGAGUUUGACUAUUCUUAGGCUAAAUGACAUGUAUAAGGAGAUGGUGGUGUGGGCUCCUACUUGAAAGCUCAGGAUCUCCUUAGGAACGAUAAAGGCCCAGAGAAGUGUGGAGCUUAUCUUAGGCAUCUGCGCUCUCAGUUCAAUGCAAAUAUAAUA